AUUUUAAGACCAGCACAUGUGGGUAAUAUUAAAAUGAUAUUCUUUUUCACUUAACAUAAAUGCCCAGUAUUUCAGCUUCAUUAAGUCUGCUUUUAGAAUGAAACUAUCAAAUGAUAACAUGCAUUCUAUGGGAACACUUCGACUCCAGAAUGAAAUAUUGGAAUAAACUUCUUUAUAAGUCUGUCUCUGCCUCUCUCUGCCUUGAGUGGUAAGGGAAGAAAGUACACAGUUGUUUCCUUUCUAUCUUCAGACUAAAGAAGAGCAUAGGAUCCAUUCAAUCCUCUAUGUUCCUCUUUUCUUCUCAGAGUUUACAAGACCUGGAUGAGAAGACUAAUCAUUUGAUAGUGAACACACAACAAAUAAAAAGUAACCUGAGUGAGACUUUCCAUUGGCAGGCCUGGUUGGAGGGAGGGGUACGUUCACGGUGGAGAUUUUUUACUAUCAUUUCCUCCUUCUUCCUUCUCAUGUCCCCUUUUCUCAUCCUAUUCCCCUUCUCCCUUUGUUUUUUCCCCUUCUCCCCCUUUCACUGGGAACCAAGAUUUCAGCUGACAUACCUAACAGAGGGCUAGAAGGUUCGCAUUUCAGAGGCUGACCUUUUAGCUGCCCUUAGCCUCCUUAAUUUAUUUUGGUCAUACAAAUUAAGCAAUUUCCUUGGUGGCUACCCAUUUAUCUUGCCCCUGAAGAUGUUUUUUCUUUUAACCAUUUCUAAGCUUUCUGCAGGUCAGGAUCCUGGUUGAAACUCUGACCUUUGCCACUCAUAACAGCAAUUGCACACAUUUUGCCUUCCACCUGUAUUCUUUGUCUCAGGUCCUUUCAUCCCCAACAGUAUCAAGGAACUUAGUUCUGUAACAGCAUCUCCUCCAGACCCUCUGCAAAACAUAACUGGCUGGUGGGUUUUCCAGCAAUCGCUAGUACAUCCACUCUAACAUGUCAUAUUCUCUAAGCUGCUUUAUCGCUCCUCCUCUGCCUCUGCCACAGACAUUUCGGCUUUUCCGCUUUAGUUAGUGUAGGCCUUCACUCAUUCCAAGCACCCAAGAACUUGGAAUCUUCCAAGUUCAUCCUGGCAGCUCGUUGGUUGUAUCUCCCAGAAUCCUUGUCAGAGCAUUAAAUCCCAUAUCACAGGAAAGUGCUUCCAGAUGGAUAAACUCUCUCUAAUCUAUGUUUUCCGUGAUCCAGCAUUCUUACGAUCCAGAUUCAUAUAUAUUCUGCACUGUGGCUUCACGUUAGGUCUCAAUCUCCUUCAGCAUGAGAUCCUUUUCUUCCCCUUAGCAUGCCCAUAAUGUCCCUGGUCCAGUAUUUUUUGUGAGUUUACCUUAGUUAUUGGUCGGUGGCCAGGAGUGGAGAAGAGAGUAGGUCCUAGGGGUUAGCUAUCUUGCAAGGUAGAGGCUUCUGCGUCCUCCUCAGGUGAGAGAGGAGCAUUUUAGUCUUAAUUUGGGAAGAAUGGGUUACUUUUGCAGGCCCAGAGGGUUCAGGGGAAGAUAAGGACUUAAAAUUUUCAAUACGUCAAGCCAGAUGUCUUCAUUCCAAGUCUCAGGGCCCCAUUCAUACCCACCAGUGGACCUGACCUUGACAGAGCAGGCUUGAAUUCUCAACCUACUUCAGAUAUCUACUUCCCUUUUAAUUAAGUCCUGGGCCUGAUAUUCAGUUUUUUCUACCUGGGUUGUAGAAGAUGAAAGACUAGUGUGCUGUCCAAGAGGUCCUCUGGCUUUCACACUUGGCCUUAAAUUGGUGAUUAAUCACCCUUAUUAAUUACCUUCUUCCAAUGCUUGAUUGCCUCCAGCAAUGGCCAUCUACCUUCAUGUCUUUAUAAAUACAACUCACCCCAAACUUCUCAAAGUCCAGGAUGUGCUGCCAUAACUUCCUAUAACUCCAUCUCUGCUUUACUUCGGAAUACCAUGAGAAUCAGCAAUUUCUAAAAACUGCUUUCUAAACGUUGAUGCCCACAAGUCCUCAAGUCGGGACCCACAAAAGGAUAGAAGAGCAAAGAGAAGUGGAGCUCCUACAGUUCACUUUAUCAUGCAAAGGAGGCUGAGUCAAGAGACUCCAGAAUUCUUCAAGAGGAUUUGAACUAAAUUAAUUUCAUUUGGCUUCAAAUUACUGAGGUAAGGCUACUACGUAUGGCUGUGCACAAUGACCUUGCAAUGAAGCCUUUCACAGCAUCUGCCUCUUCAAUUUUUACUGUCAGUGAAGGACUAAAAAUCCAUACUUUGAACCUGAAGUGUUCUCUGCAUAAGUAGAUCUCAAGCAUGCUGCCUGUUCCUAUAUAUCCGCAAAUUUCUAUGAGCAAAGAAAUUGGCAAGUCAUUGUCACCCUCUGGGUCAGCCAAGGAAACAUGUUCUCAUCCCUGGAAACCCAUACAAUAGUCUUCUAAUCUCUUCAUAGAGUGUCAACUUGGCAAAAGAGAUCCCAGUGUACCAGCAGCAUCCAUAACACUGAUUGUAGGAUCCUCAAACAAGAGAUUUCUCUCUUUACUCAUAAAAACAUGGAAUGAAUGCAUUCGUGAAGUCGACUCUGUAUAUAUGCCAUCUUAUAAAUGAAAUAAUUCUUGUCAAAUUACUCAGUGACAUUUUAUGGGUUUCAAGAAAGAGUGAAACUUCUGCCCAAAGAUCAGUGAAGCACAUCAAGAUACGACCUCUAAGAUGUCAGUAAACUUCUAUGAAUUCGAUAAGAAUGUUUAUUUUGUCCCAUUUAUUUCCAAGAUGAUGAUUUAUGGCCCCAGUUCUCACAUUGUUAGCCACUUUCGUGGAAGGAGAAGAGGCUUAUUUCAGGAUUUCCGGCAGUAUUAUUUUUAUUACAAUGUAUACCGAUGUAGAAAAGUCUUAAACCACAAUGGUAAGUGAAGCUUUUUUCUUCACAAAAGUCAUGAAGGAUAAAGGCUGCCAAGCUCUUAAGGUGUUACAUCACGCACAAAAUACCAAGAAUUUCAUCCAGACCAAAUUUUGCUUGGCAAAGAAAUUUAUACUAUUUAAAGACCUUUGAAUAUUCCCAAAGAGAUGGACAAAAAUAGGAAUUCUUCCUUAAUGACAUUAGUGUGCACAUAGAUGAAAAUCAGAAGCUGCCUUCACUCAGAGACAAGAGCAAUCUGUUUCAAUUGUUGCCAAGUCUUCUAGGACCUUCUUCUAAGUUAUAAAAUAAAUGUCCAUAAUUCUGGAGUUGAUGACACUGAUUGACCAAGGCACUGGUUCGUAUUUUUCUCUUGCUCCUAAUUAUAAAUCAUCCAUCACUUCACCAAGUUCUUUCAGAUCGUGGCUUCCUUCAUUACGGGAUGCUCUGAGCAGGAUUCCACACAAAGUCUUAAUGUUGCCACAAAUCUGAGAUUUUUUUCAAAUUUCCUUCAUUUCAAACUGAAAAUUAUUCUCAUGGAGAAGAUGUGUGCAAGUCAAUAUAUUUUCAAGGUAGGAAAACGUGUCAUACACAAGCAGGUUCAUUGGCUUCCUUUUUCCGUUGUCAAGAACCUUAUUUAUGAUAUGUGAGUAGUGCUCACGACAAUGUUUUCAGUGAUAGAACAUGUGAGUUUCUUUCCUAUUUCUCUUUGUACCACUUUUUAAUUAAGUUGAUCAAACGCAAAUAAAAACAGAUGUCCACA
ensembl:lncRNA